rfam:Burkholderia glathei strain DSM 50014 contig4, whole genome shotgun sequence.
AAGAAAGUGACUGCCGCCCCGCACAGGGGCGAAGCUAAUAAACCAAUAGCAAAGCAAGUUUCAUAGGAGCGCAAGCGUAUCAAACGGUGUAAACAGCCCGUCCCCACAAGUGCGAG